GUCACUGUAUAGCCUUGGAGUGUGUGUAAUAACUUAGAGCUUCAAGUCAACUUUCUUCCUCACCAGUUUACUUCUGCCAACUUAUGGAAAGUUGGAUAUUUUAAACGUUUAUACAAACUGAAAACUGAAGAAAGGGACAAGAACAUUCAUAUCAAGUGAUUAAAAAGCUGAACAUCAUGGGGUCCAGGUCUUUGAACUCAGAAAGCGGACACUCAGAAAAUGAAGAAGUCCAUUUCUUUGGAACAGAUGGGACUAGAAGAAACUUAAUGAAGCCCUUGAAGGUGAAUGAGACAGUCUGGGAAAGUGGAGGGAGCAAUGGAGGGCAAGGAGAAGCUCGAGGAAGCCUCACCCCCAAGCUGUGCAAGAACGUGGCUUGUCUGGAAAACACAACUAUUUCUGCAUAA
rnacentral:lncRNA from 1 species